GAUGAACGCUAGCGGCAGGCUUAAUACAUGCAAGUCGAGGGGCAGCACGGAUAGCAAUAUUUGGUGGCGACCGGCGCACGGGUGCGUAACACGUAUACAACCUACCUAUAACAGGGGGAUAGCGUUUCGAAAGAGAGAUUAAUACCCCGUAAUAAAUUGAGUGGCAUCACUUGAUUUUGAAAGCUACGGCGGUUAUAGAUGGGUAUGCGUCCGAUUAGCUAGUUGGUGAGGUAACGGCUCACAAAGGCGACGAUAGGUAGGGGAUCUGAGAGGACUAACCCCCACACUGGUACUGAGACACGGACCAGACUCCUACGGGAGGCAGCAGUAAGGAAUAUUGGUCAAUGGAGGCAACUCUGAACCAGCCAUGCCGCGUGCAGGAUGACGGCCCUAUGGGUUGUAAACUGCUUUUGUACCAGAGAAAACCUACUCACGUGUGAGUAGCUGAUAGUAUGGUAAGAAUAAGCAUCGGCUAACUUCGUGCCAGCCGCCGCCGUAAUAC
rnacentral:rRNA from 1 species